rnacentral:rRNA from 1 species
GAGUUUGAUCGUGGCUCAGAUUGAACGCUGGCGGCAGGCCUAACACAUGCAAGUCGAACGGUAACAGGAAACAGCUUGCUGUUUCGCUGACGAGUGGCGGACGGGUGAGUAAUGUCUGGGAAACUGCCUGAUGGAGGGGAUAACUACUGGAAACGGUAGCUAAUACCGCAUAACGUCGCAAGACCAAAGAGGGGGACCUUCGGGCCUCUUGCCAUCGGAUGUGCCCAGAUGGGAUUAGCUAGUAGGUGGGGUAACGGCUCACCUAGGCGACGAUCCCUAGCUGGUCUGAGAGGAUGACCAGCCACACUGGAACUGAGACACGGUCCAGACUCCUACGGGAGGCAGCAGUGGGAAUAUUGCACAAUGGGCGCAAGCCUGAUGCAGCCAUGCCGCGUGUAUGAAGAAGGCCUUCGG